rnacentral:rRNA from 1 species
GACGAAUGCUGGCGGCGUGCUUAACACAUGCAAGUCGAAUGGAAAGGCCCUGCUUUUGUGGGGUGCUCGAGUGGCGAACGGGUGAGUAACACGUGAGUAACCUGCCCUUUACUUUGGGAUAACUUCAGGAAACUGGGGCUAAUACCGGAUAGGAGCUCCUGCUGCAUGGUGGGGUUUGGAAAGUUUCGGCGGUUGGGGAUGGACUCGCGGCUUAUCAGCUUGUUGGUGGGGUAGUGGCUUACCCAGGCUUUGACGGGUAGCCGGCCUGAGAGGUUGAACGGCCACAUUGGGACUGAGAGACGGCGCAGACUCCUACGGGAGGCAGCAGUGGGGAAUAUUGCACAAUGGGCGGAAGCCUGAUGCAGCAACGCCGCGUGCGGGAUGACGGCCUUCGGGUUGGAAACCGCUUUAGCCUGUGACGAAGCGUGAGUGACGGUAAUGGGUAAAGAAGCACCGGCUAACUACGUG